rnacentral:tRNA from 1 species
CGGGGUGUAGCGCAGUCCGGUUAGCGCGCCUGCUUCGGGAGCAGGAGGUCGGAGGUUCAAAUCCUCUCACCCCGACCA